ACCAGUUGAUCCUAAAACCUUAAUUCCUCCUGUCAACAGAACUCUCUCGAAACCUUAAUAAAUGCCAAAUGUCUCUCAAGCAAACUAUUCUGACUCAAUCUCAUCCCACAAUCUCUACAUCUUUCUUCAUCAUCCAUUAGUACCAAUGGAUCGAAUCUCUUUUGGAGUCAAUCUCAAAUUGGUAACUGGUCUUCAACAUCUGAUUCAUGAUUAUUUGUAGGUAAUUCUAAUUCGUGCAGCCACAUUUUAGUGCAGUCAACUAAAUUCUAAUUAAUAUGUUUUCUCUCUCUCUUUGCAAUCAGAAUCUCUUCACUCUCUUCUGCUUCAAUCAAUUGCAUAACUCAAAGUCUCUAUAAGUUGUCUCUCUCUUAAUCACAUUAAGUCUUCCUCGCAAUUGGAUCUAUUUCAUGUACAUAUUGAAAAAAAAAAAACAAACUUGGAUUGACAUAAAGUUAUUUCGGUUAAAUCAAUUUAUGUAGGAUGAAGCUAAAUAUCUUCUCAUUCAUUGAUUGAAAUUAUGUAAUCAAGUAAAAUUCAGAUAUCAAGUCUGACAUUGUUGAACUCUCCACAAUGGAAUGUUCAUCCUAUUUACAACAUGUACAAUUUUGUUUCAAAAGUUCUGCCUGGCGAAGUAUUGUUCAAUGUUGUUCAAUGUACAAUUUUAGUUAUUUAUGUAUGUAGGUUUCUUUAAAAGGUGAUUACAUCCAUAUCUAAUUACUAUCUUUUACUUCACUACCCACUGCAAUUAUGCAAAUUAAGUGUGCUUCAUUUUGAGAUGGUCAAUUGUUUUGUUGUUAAUCAAUCCGAUAUUUGCAAAUUAGUAUUGAGUAAUGAUGGUUUACAUUUUUUUUUUCAGGUUAAUGAUCAAUUGUUGAACUGGAUCCAGAGCACCAAAUUGAAGUGCAAACAAGUUUUUACCAGAGGUUAUCGAUACCUUUGUGACAU
rnacentral:lncRNA from 1 species